rnacentral:rRNA from 1 species
CAGCCGCCGCGGGAAAACGAAGGGGGCUAGCGUUGCUCGGAAUCACUGGGCGUAAAGGGUGCGUAGGCGGGUCUUUAAGUCAGGGGUGAAAUCCUGGAGCUCAACUCCAGAACUGCCUUUGAUACUGAAGAUCUUGAGUUCGGGAGGGGUGAGUGGAACUGCGAGUGUAGAGGUGAAAUUCGUAGAUAUUCGCAAGAACACUAGUGGCGAAGGCGGCUCACUGGCCCGAUACUGACGCUGAGGCACGAAAGCGUGGGGAGCAAACAGGAUUAGAUACCCGUGUAGUCCCUGUCUCUUAUAA